rnacentral:rRNA from 1 species
GAUGAACGCUAGCGGCAGGCUUAACACAUGCAAGUCGAGGGGCAGCACAGGUAGCAAUACUGGGUGGCGACCGGCAAACGGGUGCGGAACACGUACGCAAUCUACCUUUAUCUGGGGCAUAGCCCGAAGAAAUUCGGAUUAAUACCCCAUAAUAUAGAUGAGUGGCAUCACUUGACUAUUAAAACUCCGGUGGAUAGAGAUGAGCGUGCGUCCCAUUAGCUAGUUGGCAGGGUAAAGGCCUACCAAGGCGACGAUGGGUAGCUGGUGUGAGAGCACGACCAGCCACACGGGCACUGAGACACGGGCCCGACUCCUACGGGAGGCAGCAGUGAGGAAUAUUGGUCAAUGGACGCAAGUCUGAACCAGCCAUGCCGCGUGAAGGAUGAAGGCCUUCUGGGUUGUAAACUUCUUUUAUUGGGGAAGAAAAUUACGGUUUCUACUGUAACCGACGGUACCCAACGAAUAAGCACCGGCUAACUCCGUGCCAGCAGCCGCAGUAUAC